GAGUUGUAAUUUGCAGAGGGCGCUUUGGCAUUGGCAGCGGUCCAAGUUCCUUGGAACAGGACGUCACAGAGGGUGAGAAUCCCGUACGUGGUCGCUAGCCUUUACCGUGUAAAGCCCCUUCGACGAGUCGAGUUGUUUGGGAAUGCAGCUCUAAAUGGGAGGUAAAUUUCUUCUAAAGCUAAAUACUGGCCAGAGACCGAUAGCGCACAAGUAGAGUGAUCGAAAGAUGAAAAGCACUUUGGAAAGAGAGUUAAAAAGCACGUGAAAUUGUUGAAAGGGAAGCGCUUGCAGCCAGACUUGCCUGUAGUUGCUCAUCCGGGUUUCUACCCGGUGCACUCUUCUAUAGGCAGGCCAGCAUCAGUUUGGGCGGUUGGAUAAAGGUCUCUGUCAUGUACCUCCUUUCGGGGAGAACUUAUAGGGGAGACGACAUGCAACCAGCCUGGACUGAGGUCCGCGCAUCUGCUAGGAUGCUGGCGUAAUGGCUGUAAGCGGCCCGUCUUGAAACACGGACCAAGGAGUCUAACAUCUAUGCGAGUGUUUGGGUGUCAAGCCCGAGCGCGUAAUGAAAGUGAACGGAGGUGGGAACCUUUCGGGGUGCACCAUCGACCGAUCCUGAUGUCUUCGGAUGGAUUUGAGUAAGAGCAUAGCUGUUGGGACCCGAAAGAUGGUGAACUAUGCUUGAAUAGGGUGAAGCCAGAGGAAACUCUGGUGGAGGCUCGCAGCGGUUCUGACGUGCAAAUCGAUCGUCAAAUUUGGGCAUAGGGGCGAAAGACUAAUCGAACUAUCUAGUAGCUGGUUCCUGCCGAAGUUUCCCUCAGGAUAGCAGUAACGUUUUCAGUUUUAUGAGGUAAAGCGAAUGAUUAGAGGCCUGGGGGUUGAAACAACCUUCACCUAUUCUCAAACUUUAAAUAUGUAAGAAGUCCUUGUUACUUGAUUGAACGUGGACAGUUGAAUGUAUCGUUACUAGUGGGCCAUUUUUGGUAAGCAGAACUGGCGAUGCGGGAUGAACCGAACGCGGGGUUAAGGUGCCAGAAUAUACGCUCAUCAGACACCACAAAAGGUGUUAGUUCAUCUAGACAGCAGGACGGUGGCCAUGGAAGUCGGAAUCCGCUAAGGAGUGUGUAACAACUCACCUGCCGAAUGAACUAGCCCUGAAA
rnacentral:rRNA from 1 species